GACGAACGCUGGCGGCGUGCCUAAUACAUGCAAGUUGAGCGCUGAAGGUUGGUACUUGUACCAACUGGAUGAGCAGCGAACGGGUGAGUAACGCGUGGGGAAUCUGCCUUUGAGCGGGGGACAACAUUUGGAAACGAAUGCUAAUACCGCAUAAAAACUUUAAACACAAGUUUUAAGUUUGAAAGAUGCAAUUGCAUCACUCAAAGAUGAUCCCGCGUUGUAUUAGCUAGUUGGUGAGGUAAAGGCUCACCAAGGCGAUGAUACAUAGCCGACCUGAGAGGGUGAUCGGCCACAUUGGGACUGAGACACGGCCCAAACUCCUACGGGAGGCAGCAGUAGGGAAUCUUCGGCAAUGGACGAAAGUCUGACCGAGCAACGCCGCGUGAGUGAAGGAGGUUGUCGGAUCGGAAAACUCUGUUGGUAGAGAAGAACGUUGGUGAGAGUGGAAAGCUCAUCAAGUGACGGUAACUACCCAGAAAGGGACGGCUAACUACGUG
rnacentral:rRNA from 1 species